rnacentral:rRNA from 1 species
GACGAACGCUGGCGGCGUGCUUAACACAUGCAAGUCGAACGAAGUGGCGAACGGGUGAGUAACGCGUAAUCAACCUGCCCUUCAGAGGGGGACAACAGUUGGAAACGACUUCUAAUACCGCAUACUGAAGGAGGGGAUUGAGUCUGAUUAGCUAGUUGGAGGGGUAACGGCCCACCAAGGCGAUGAUCAGUAGCCGGGUUGAGAGGAUGAACGGGCAAAUUGGGACUGAGAAACGGCCCAGACUGCUACGGGAGGAAGCAGGGGGGAAUCGUCCGGAAUGGAAGAAAGUCUGACGGAGCAACGCCGCGGGAGUGAUGACGGCCUUCGGGUUGUAAAGCGCUGUUAAUCGGGACGCGGUACCGGAAUAGAAAGCCACGGCUAACUACGUGCCAGCCGCCGCGGUAAUUC